rnacentral:rRNA from 1 species
GAAUCAACGCUGGCGGCGUGCCUAACACAUGCAAGUCGAGCGAGAAAGGGGGCUUCGGCCCUGAGUAAAGCGGCGCACGGGUGAGUAACACGUGGGUAAUCUGCCCUAGAGUGGGGAAUAACAUCGGAAACCGAUGCUAAUACCGCAUACGAUCACGAGGUCUUCGGAUUUUUGUGAUGAAAGGAGCAAUCCGCUCUUGGAGGAGCCCGCGGCUGAUUAGCUAGNGGUAAGGUAAUGGCUUACCAAGGCUACGAUCAGUAUCCGGUCUGAGAGGACGGUCGGACACACUGGAACUGAGACACGGUCCAGACUCCUAC